UGAACCUUCCUUCAUGUAUUUUCAUUUUGAGAUAACGGCUGAGGGCAGAAUUUAGACUCAUUUGGCACCUGUUAAUGAGUCUCAAACCAGUGAAUGGGUCUGUCAAGACAAAGGAGCCAGAGGAACCUUGCUUGUUGCCGCCUUGUCAUAGUUAUUCAGAGGCCAGUGUAGUUCCUGUGACUGGCGCAUUCUAGUAGUACAAUUCAGUGUAAAGGCUUUUUAUUUUUUUCUCCCCUUUUUGAUGGAGAGAGGGUGAAACAUGACAGAAUCCCAUUCCCAGCACCUUGCUCUGCUAACAGAUUCAAGACUUGCUGAAAGCAAGACAAGACUCUACAGAAAGGAUAUAGGGCAAGAGCUCAUGACAACACUGGAAGGAUAUCAGCAUGAACAUUAGUUGAAAGAGUGUCUGACUCAGUCCAAACUCAUUCACUUCUCUUAGAGCUUUCCUCUUCUGGAGACUGGAUCCUUAAACCAGAAAAGGUGGUACACUGUUCCCUGUGGAAUUAUUUUGAACAACUGAGUUGAGCAGUUAAAACUGAUCAGAGUAUUGUGUCAUCAUUUUAUGGACAUCAUGGAAUUGUGGUAGUAGGUGCUCCUCCACAAGUGUGUGUAUCUUUACUCCUUGAGGAUCAUAGAGGAUGCUGCUAUGUGACAUCCAAGAAUUGGUUAGUCCUUCAAGGAGAAAUAUUAAUUAGAGGUUUAAAAAAGAUGCAUCAGAAUGUCAUGUAUUUUCCCCAGUUGCUGAACUGCACCUUUCUUCCUCCUGCUACCACCAGAUAAAUGAUUUUGGAUUUGUAAAGCCAUUUUUAGGCACUGUGCACUUGCCAUCAUCUCAUUAUUCUGUGGGGAAAGGCACUUUGUAAUUUAAGUCAUCACAGAUAUAAAAUGGCAUUAGCACAUCGUAGAUGUAAAAUGGCAUUAGUAACUUACCUGUCACUGAAACAGAAAUGCACAGACCCCAGAGUAACCCAGGAUAAAAGAAACCAUUUCAUUUGAAUGGAACAUGGUUUGAAAAGUAAGUUUUUAACGGUUGUAGUUUUGAUUUUAACUGCAUUAUGAUAGGAUGAUGCAUUUUUAAACACACAGUAUGUAAGCAUACUUUAUGGAAUGUGUAGAAUUAACAAUGCACGUAAACAUAAAUACUGAUUGGAACUAUAGACAAUUUUGUCAUAAGAGCUUUUCUUCAUGGAAAAAUUGUGCCAAUGAGAGCAGAAAUCUUAGUGGAGUUGCAGAGGGCAAAGCAAAAGCAGUCAAAAUGCUCCAAGAGUGCGGAAGAGCAGACUUGUGACCAAAAGAGAAAUGGCACAAAGUGAGGAUUCUGUUCCCUCAGUGUUUCCUGUCAUCACGAACUAUAAAUAUUUCACUUUCCUCACGGUUUUGACACAUAAAGGAAUUCUGAAAACCCUUCAUUGUCAGAUCAAAAGCUGCUGUAGACCUGGGCAAGUCAGCUUUGUGAGAGCUAUCUGAAGGAAUAUUGGCUGACAGUAUGCCUGCCAAAUCUCGUCCUUGCCUAAAGAGCCUGUGAGCCAGUGAGUUAAGAAAUGCUACAGAUUUGAUCAGUAUUUUUCACCUAGGUAUUAUCUCUGCUUCUUUACCCUUGAUUUAGUUCUCUGACCCAUUCUACUCUAAGAAGUAGUGGCAGUUUUCUGAUCCUACUGAUCCUAAGUAAUUUCAAAUUCAUGUUCUUUUAAGAAGUCAUUCCUCCAUAGAGGAAUAGAAGCAAGUGUGAAGAAGACAGAAGUGCUUAAGUAGGACUAUGGCUGAAUAUAUUUCCAUCUAAGUUCAGUUAACUUCUGAUCUUUAAUUUCAGCUGGAGCCUUGACUAUGAUAACUGUAAAAAACCCCAAAUCCCUUCUGCCCCCAAGAGAAGAGAGUGAUGCUAAGUUACAUAAAAAAGGCAAAACAACACUGUUCUGCAGUGAGCAAAUGGAAAAGGAGGGAAAGCCAUGCAUAGAACUUUUUACUUUGUGCCUUCUCUUGUUGGCUCUUACUCUUGCCUCUGAAGAGUGAAGAUUGUUUAAAGUACUUUGAAGCUCCUUCUAUUGUAAUCACUACAUUCUUCUGUGUUCAUAGUGCCCCAGUUUGUCACAGGCUUUGCCUAAGCCCAUCUGUGUUCCUACGUAGCAGGGUCCCUGUGAGUAAGUGAUAUGUGAGUUAUUUGUAAUUCAUAUUAAAACCAGCAGGACAGCUAAAAUACAGAAAACACAGGAGAAAUUAAGGGGAGGCUCACAUGAAAUGCAGUUCCUACACAAUAAAGCAUUUCCCCUGACCCUGGUGAAUGCAAAACUUUAGGUAAUUAUAAUUUUCUUUUCAUUUGUACUUUAUGAGCAGUUUUUGGCAGCACGUACCAAAAUAAUACAGGAUCACAGCUGACAUAAUGAUGGUUUUCCAAGCUAAGUAUAAGAAGUUGAACUCACUUUGGAGUGCAGUCUGCACAAAACCCGCGCUGUCUGGAUUUCAAGUUAGUUCACUGUUCAUGACACGGUAUUUCAGAAGUUUUAUUUGACCCCAAAAUGUAGUUCUUUUACUAAAAAUGCAGCUUUAGGUUGGUAUGUUAACAUGUUAACUUUGAAAACAGAAUCAUAACUCUUCCCAGUGUUGAGAUGUUCCCAAGUUAAAUGCCCCUUUUUAUUUUGAAUGGUCUCUUGGGUUUCUUUGUUUUGUGUUUUAAAUGUAGAAUUGGAAUUCAUCCAGAUGAUCUGGUUUUGUUUUGUUUUUCAAAUAUGGCCUUUAACUGCUGGAUUAUAUCUAGUACAAAUUCAGAUGUAGAAUUAGCCAUGAGGUGCUGGACUGCAUUGCUGUGCCUGGCUGCCUGUGCUGUGCCUGGUAAUAACUGCAGCACAGGCAAAAAGUGCUCUCCCCAGCUUGAGCCUGAUCGUAUGCUCUGUCACACGGUGAGUCUAGGUGAAUACCAGCUUUCAUUUGCAAAGCAACAAAAACCCCUGUAUGCUCAUUUCUUCUGUUCCAGGCAGAGCAAAAUCCUCUCAGAAAAUUGAAGAGGAAUCAGACUGGGCUUCCUACUGCUCACCCGCUUCAUGCCUAUCACUCAAUUGGUGUAAGAAACACAAAUACUGCAUAAAGAGUGUGUCCUCUGAAAACCAGUUAUGAUGUGCUUAUUCCAGCCUAUUUCCUUGCUUUAUUUUAUUUCAUUUUGGUGUUGAAAGAAAAGGCUGACAUGUUUCUCUGUGGAUUAUGUCUUUAGGAAUAUUUAGGUUAGUCCCACUGAUUGAGUUUUUCAUGUUCAUACAGAAUGUAAUCAGCAUGAAACAGCACAAAGCAAACCAUCCUGCUUUGGCAAUGAAACUGCAGAAUGAACAACUCCAAAUGUGUGUCUUCUGUCUGCCUUUAGUACACAAUGGGUUACUUCUUCAUGAAACACUUGUUAGAAGUAUGACUUGGAGCUCAAGAGAAAGGCAAAAUAAGAUACAUACCAUGCUGUUAUUUUUCUGUAUUGUUGGAAGAGACUCCACGGUGUCAGUGCAUGCAGGGAAUGUUGGACAAGAGAUGUUUAAAGAGAUUAAGCUACUGUUUGGGAAGGAUUUUGAGAGAAAACUGGAAAAGCUGCACUUUUCAGUGUGCGACUUCAUAGUUUAGAAGGUUAUAAAAACUUACGGAAGAGGUAACAAGGCUGAACAAACAACUACUUGACUGCCUUCUGAACUCCAGGGUGUUUGCCUAACUAAGAGACAUGUAAACUUUUCAUGUUAACACAAGUAAACUUUCUUUCAAGUACCACUCUUUGUGACUUUUCAGUAGUCAUCCAGCGUAUUCCCCGCUCAUAAGAAAGGAUCAACUAAAUCAUUUGGUUAGUAUUUGCUCUGUUUUCUAAAUAUCUUACUUCAGUAGUUUUAAUACUACUUUUCACAGCUAGCUUUUCCUCCUUUUUUCUGUCUAAAUGUAUUUCUUCCAGUGUAGUAGUCAUCAUCUUUGCUUGUACCAUCCGUGAUGAUUUGGGAAUAUAAAGGGAAAAUCAUGAGAACCUCAGGCAAUUUUACAUCAGAAAUUGUGUAUGUAGUAAGAGCCUGACUUUUUGCUCUACCUUACAGGGUGCUUAGGAAGAAGAAGAAAUGAUGGGUAGAAACAUCUAGGUUUUAAUGCUUAAAAGCCUUGCAACAAAGAAAUGAACAUUUCUAGCUACGUGUAGCAUCUGGUUUUGACAAGAACCAGUUACUAAAAAAAGACUCAUCUAAAAAUGAGUCGUCAUUGAUCUUGGAAGGAAAUAGGAAUUGUGGACAAGGCUGUUAUUCUUUUAGUUUCUCUCCUCUUUACCCCCAGUGAAGUGCAGGAAUAAGUGUACUCUGUGGAGCUUUAUAAUGGCUGAGAAGUUCUCAUCAGAAAAUCACAUCUCUCUACCCAUUGUUUGUGAUCCAUGUGAAGGGUGAACCAGCAAGUCUAACAAAUCAACAGGAGCACAGCAGAAAUACAAGCAGAAGGUGAGGGUGGUUCUGUGGGAAUGACACUUAUUAAUGUUGGGUUUCAAAGCCAAUGUCAUGUUGGGCUGAAACGGAGCUAUGAGUGUGCCUGAAAAAUACUGGUAUGCUAAUGCGAAAUAGAACAGCAGAGCAAUUCUUCUGCUUAAAGGCUACUUUAAAUACUUGUGUCUAAAGGUAAUGUAUCUGCCAGUCUUGGCAGUAGAAUUGGGCUUUUCUGUUUUAUAGGGUUUAUGCUAUUGGUAGCAAUUAUGUGGCAAUGACUUCUAUCCAUUAGUGCUGUGGGGGAGUUCAAUCGACAGAAGUGUGUACUGGCAACAGCCAUGAAGCCCUCGGUCAGUGCUGGCUUGUUACAGUGUUAAAGAAUGUCAUGGCGAGUGCGCUUUUAUGUCAGAUGGAGCUGCAGAGUUAAACAGGAUAACAUUAGUGUAUCAGGAUAGUGGGAACAUAACUGCAUAACAGCUGUUAUUAGACACUGUAAGUACAAAAUAAAUCUGUUCACAGGAACACCACAGUGAAUGAAACAGGAGAGAGAGCGUAAUCCCUUGCUAGCAGCAUUUAGCAGGGUGGGAUAAGCUCCUUUCCUCCCUCCUUCUGAUGUUUCUCAGGGUUUCUCUAGAUCGACUUGAGACUCUUCCACAGGGAUUGUUACGUUGGCAGAAGCUCAGGCAUCCCAUCUUUGUGUAAGCUUGGGUUUACUCCAGAUUCGGUGAACUGCGGGAAUAUCGGUGCUCAUGGCACAUUUGCUGUUAUUUGGCUUUGAUAAAAACGCUGGGUUUGCCCAGUCUUGUGGAACCUUCAAGAAACUGGAGGGGGGGAAAAAAAACCCACAAUUUACUUACACAUUUCUGUUCUUGUUUGUGACUUCUGCUACUUUUUAGUUGUUGUCUAUAUGCUGAAGUUCUAGGUACUGUGCUGUUGUACCUGAUGAGUUGCCUCCUCGGAUUUCCAGAAGCUGGUAUGUACAAACUAGCAGGGAACAUUAUAAGUGACUACAGCCCUGUAAAGGACAGUAAGCUGCAUGUGAAAAUCUCUCUUCUGAACUAGUGGUAACAUGGGAAGUAUCCAAAAUAAGUCAGUUUGUGUUAUGCAGGCCUUUGGGCAUAUUCCCAUGGGAAUAUGUUGGAAAAGAAGCUAUGUACCUAAGCCAACCAAACGCAAAUUUGUCUUGCAAUUUUUCCAUUUAUUCAAACGGGACAUAAAUAUUUAGUUUCCUAAUCUGCACAAUUACCCUGGAGCUCAGGCUGCAAUGUGUCAGUACAGUGACAGCUUCCCCUGGAUGACAGCUCAUAGCAAUAGUGAAAACUGACAGGGUUUGUAAACCAAGGUUGUUUAGAGACAAGACUCAGUUCUUGAGUGACUACUUCUCAGUUAACCAUUACCGUAUUUUACGGUGCUCUUGAACAAAGUUAUUUUAAAGUGGAUCUAACUGGCAUGCUUAAAUGGACUUGUAAUGGCGUGUGACACAGGCUGUGCUGCUCUAGCAUCUGCUAACAUAAUACUGCUGAUGGCAAUGAGAUGAUGCUCAGAGACAUUCUACAUAUUCUACAGUGUGAUCUAGUAAAAACAAGUCAGUAGUAACAGGUCUCAGAGUGUGUAAUUGCUCAUGUUAGUGUGGCCACCCUUUUUAUCGUGCUGUUUACUGUCACUUGGGCAGUUUCUGUCACUAGCCUUUUUUGUUUUAACGGAGGGUUUAUAUUUCAUGUAGUACAAGCCACUGCUCGCAUCCCUGAAUGAGCCUUUGUGUGGAACUCUGUUAUAUGAGAUUUCAUUGUAUUUAUCCUGAAGUUUCUUUAAUGGCAUCUUGCUGAAUAAAAAAGCUAAAAUGAGUAUUUUACCCUCAUGAGCAUAGGAAAAGAGACUUGGACUGGAAGCUGACUGGAAGCUCUCUCACGAUUUUCAUCCUCAUGAACAUAUCUAGAAUGCUGAAUAUAAGUCACCAUAAGGUUUGUUAUGUAUUUUAAGCACAAGUUCUGGAACUUGAAGUUCUAUCUGUGCUGUACAUUGUAUUUAGUUUCAGUUCUUGGGACAAAGAAUUGGCUACAGAAUGUUUGUACGGCAUCUAGCAUGAGUUGCUGUUUGUACUUUCAGACUUGCUUGCAAAAUAUGUAUCCAAUCCUAAUAAUAAUGUGAUUCCCCCCAAAAUAAGGAAAAUAUCUCCUAAAUAUCAGUGCUUCUGGACACGUUCAACAUCUUCAGAGAGUCAGCAGAGUGUUCAGCAAGUUUUAAGGUGUAGUGAGGCAGAAGUCAACGUAAGUACGCUGCAGGCAUUAAAAAGACUAAUACCGCUGUCAUGCUGAUUUCAUUUUCCUUUUGUUGUUUAAAUAUAUAUAUAGUACAUAAAAAAUAUUGGAGAUAAUCUGAAUUGGUUUGUAAAACCUUGCUGGUUUGCAAAUCAUAAUGAUAGUUUAACUGCAUUGCCUGGUUCUGAGUUAGUAUCUCUGGGCAUCUUGUGUUAUAUUACACCUUGGAAUUGUGUUUGAAACUUGUGCCUACAUGGUACUGUUCCACAAACUUGGUAUUUAGGGUUGAAUGAACAGAUGAACUUCUUUGUAAGAUCUCUGGUGUGAAAUUCUGGCCAUGAUAUCUUCUGUAGCUUCUCCACUGUUUAAAUCAGUGCUGAUGUGUUUGUCUUUGCACUGCACUUCAGGGGAAAAAGCUUUUGUUUGGCUCUUUGUUUUGAGUUUACCUUCUUAGAUUCUUCAUGUUUGCAGCCAUUGAUUUGCUUGAGGUGUUCCUGCAAACACUGAACAAAUUCUUCUCUAAUUAAUCAUGCCAUAGGUAUUUGGUACCAAACCCCAGAGAUUCUGAAAGGAACACUGCUUUCUAGACAGGGUAUGGACCUAUACCUUUGAUUCAGUAUAUGUAGAUACCCGUGGUUAUGAAAUGUUUGGUGUAUUGGUAGUUGAGGUCACUUGGAAAAGGUUGCUGGCUUUGAAUUUCCAGUAAUUAAACAGAAGUAAAAUAAUUUCACAAACAUUAAAUAACCUUAAUGACUAAGCAGGAUUUCUAAUGUUCAGCGGUUAAUGACUACAACAAUUUGGUAUCAGCACUUGAAAGGUAUUUAAAAUACUCCAAUAUUUUACUCUGUUAAUGCUUAAAUUAUAUUGCUUAGGAUUAUUAGUAGAACUUGUAGCUCCCUUCCCUAUGUGCUUAGGAGAUUUCCCACAGACAUUUAGUACUAGCCACUGUGGGCAGCUGGCUUUACCUAAUUACCAUGCUCAGGAUCCAGUAGCUCAUUCUCCCCCACCCCAUGCUAUAUAUACUUUUCAUGUGAUGGGUUAUAAAAACUCUUCUUCUGAGAUGUCAAUAAUCUGGUUUUCAGUAGAGCUGGUUCAGAAUGUUCUGCAGUCACAGAUCAUAGUGCCUGGGCGUUUUACAUAAAGCAAAGCUGAGUUUAUGUAACAGAACCAGAAUAUAGAACGUAUGGCAAAUAGUGUUUGUGAUCUUUCUGCUCCCAAAUUCUAUUACCUGCAACAGAAUUAUUGUGUUUUGUUUCUGUUUGCAGUCACUAACUCACUCUUUUCCCAUGUCCCAGCCUAGCUGGUCAUAAGUGAAUGGGUUUACACCUAGUGAGUCCAGCAGUUAUUAGAACAAGUUUAAAACAUUUUUUGACUUGAUGACAUGACUGAGACUAGAUGAGUAAACAUCUAAUAAAAUCAUGUAUCUUAAGGCAAAUGUCAAGUUAGUGUCAUAUAAUGUGUAUUUGUUAAUAGGUAACCUAAUAUAAAUGUAUGAAAUAAUUUUCACCACCUAACAUAAACAGCUUUUCCUGAACUAGCCAGCUUUUCCAUAUGAAAUGCUGUUAUUUUACCAGUUAUCACCAUUUUUUUGCCAAAAAAAAUUUGAUAAUGGCUGUAAAUGCAAAGUGUGACAUGGCUACUUAAGCAUUAGUGCAGUAACAGAGGGCAUUUUCUCCUGAUUCUGUGUAACUGAAAUCAGUGAUUUUGUUACCUGAAGAUUUGUUUGAUAGCACUGAAGAAAUGCCAUUUCCUUCCAUUCCCCCACACCUCUAAUACUCAAAAUGUGUGGAAUCAGGUGCGCAUGGAUUGCCACUAUGCGUGUGGCUGGAGUUUUACGAUCAUAAUGCUACCUUCUGCCAUAAACAUCUGAAAUGGAGAUCUACAUCUCGUACCCCAGCAGACUGAAGUAGGAGGAUGUCACCUACCCUGGCAGUGUCUGCAUGGAAAUGUCAGCUCAUUGUGCUCUGGUAACAGCUCUGCCACGUCACAAGCAUUUGUCAGGAGAAAAGCAUCCCCAGCAUGUUGUUGGUAUAAAAGAAAG